rnacentral:rRNA from 1 species
UACGUAGGGGGCAAGCGUUGUCCGGAUUCAUUGGGCGUAAAGAGCGUGUAGGCGGCCAGGUAGGUCGGUUGUGAAAACUGGAGGCUCAACCUUCAGAGGUCGACCGAAACCAUCUGGCUAGAGUCCGGGAGAGGAGUGUGGAAUUCCUGGUGUAGCGGUGAAAUGCGCAGAUAUCAGGAGGAACACCAAUGGCGAAGGCAGCACUCUGGGACGUGACUGACGCUGAGACGCGAAAGCGUGGGGAGCAAACAGG